CUUUUAACUCCAGGGUCAGGACCUUUACAAUACUCCACCCCUUAAACCUUUGUUUAUAUAACCCAGGUUCCAUUCCCAUUCCCUUUCUCUACUGCUGUUUACCGUUCUUCUUCCUCUUCCUGCUUUUUCAUCUUCUUGAGGUUCUACUGCUCUUUAUCAGGAACACCUCUUUUUAUUAUCCAAAGACAAUUACAGAACGGAACCAUAAUUAUGAGGGUUCAAAUUUUGGGGAUUGCUUGAUUUGAAAUGAUCACUGUUGUUAAACCCUUCGAUCAAUGCACCAAGGAAUGGCGAAAUAAGUCAAGGCGCAAAGUCUAUCCACUAGCAGUUGCAGAGCUGAAGGGUAAACGCACCAGGAAAUAUUAUUAUGACCGGAGUAGUGAGAAUAGGAGGCCUAAGACACAUGAGGUUCGUACUU